UGCUCUUUUUUAUGUGAGCUGGGUUGGCAGUUUCUUGGCUUCAGACCAAAGGCCCAAGGGAGGAUCAGAAUGAGAGCUUCAGAAGGAUGAGCCUUUCUUGGCUGAGCAUGAUCCAGAAACCAAAGAAGAGAGUCAGCUAUGGGUGCUGGGAGGCAUGCCAGCUGGGGAGGCCCAUGAACUGGGACUUGGUGCCAAUCUGCCACUAGCUGUCUGAUUGGCCUUGGUUACUGUAUCUCUACUUUAGGCGUGACUAUUCCCCUGUUCUGGUGGGGCAGAAGGACAGACUCUUACCUUGCUCUCAGAAGUAACAACAUGACUCAGGCCUGGCCAGCAUGAUGUCCCUGCCCACAGCAACUGGCCUUAAGAAGUCCACAUGGCCCAAGGUGGUAAAGGAUGGUGGAGCCACAAGACGGAAGGAGACUGAGUUUGUGAGUGACUGUGUGGAGCCGACUCCCCAUUGGACUGUGCUCUACCUGAACCAGGUGGGACCCGUGCCGAGCUGGAACUAGUAAAUUGGGACCCAGUCAACUGGAUGGUGGGCCUGGGAGAUGAUAGAGAACAGUGGAGUUUCCAUUGCGCUAAUCCAUCACUGUAGAGCAGGCAAGAUUAUGCUUCCCCCAAAAAAACUCUGGGAGAUAAAUGCAGCUCCAAGUCUAACCUCAGAGGCCCAUGGAGUUUAGGGGUCUUCAGUCAUCUAAUCUGAGAUCUAACCAGUGACCCGGAGGGAGGUGUGUGAAAGAAGACCUAUGAUCCCACCUUGACUUGAUCGAAGAAGACUGUGUGAGCUUAGCUUGAAACUCUGGGGCUCAGUUUCAACGUCUCACCCUGACUCUGCCCUGCAAUGCCCUCCUUGCACCCCCACCAAAUCUCCAGGGAUGGAUUCCAGCAUCUCCUCCAGCUCUGAGGGUCUCUGGGCAAACUGCACGUGACCAUCCACACAGCUCUCUGGGCCUCAAGAAGCACGGUUCAGUGGAGCUCAACGUCGUGAGCUGUUUUGCUGUUUACUACUGUGUGACUUGGGAAAGUUCCUAUUAUUUUAAAUCUCUCUGUUCAUCACCUUUAAAAUGGAAUAAUAAAUAAAUUCGAUCUCAUAAACGUG